rnacentral:rRNA from 1 species
CCUACGGGCGGCAGCAGUGGGGAAUAUUGGACAAUGGGGGGAACCCUGAUCCAGCCAUGCCGCGUGUGUGAAGAAGGCCCUCGGGUUGUAAAGCACUUUCAGUGAGGAAGAACGCCUGGUGGUUAAUACCCAUCAGGAAAGACAUCACUCACAGAAGAAGCACCGGCUAACUCCGUGCCAGCAGCCGCGGUAAUACGGAGGGUGCGAGCGUUAAUCGGAAUUACUGGGCGUAAAGCGCGCGUAGGUGGCUUGAUAAGCCGGUUGUGAAAGCCCCGGGCUCAACCUGGGAACGGCAUCCGGAACUGUCAAGCUAGAGUGCAGGAGAGGAAGGUAGAAUUCCCGGUGUAGCGGUGAAAUGCGUAGAGAUCGGGAGGAAUACCAGUGGCGAAGGUGGCCUUCUGGACUGACACUGACACUGAGGUGCGAAAGCGUGGGUAGCAAACAGGAUUAGAUACCCGAGUAGUC